UACGGGGGGAGCAAGCGUUGUUCGGAUUUACUGGGCGUAAAGGGCGCGUAGGCGGUUUGUCACGUCGGCUGUGAAAACCCGGGGCUUAACCCUGGGCUUGCAGUGGAUACGGGCAGACUAGAGGCAGGUAGGGGAGAAUGGAAUUCCCGGUGUAGCGGUGAAAUGCGCAGAUAUCAGGAGGAACACCGAUGGCGAAGGCAGCUCGCUGGGACGGUACUGACGCUAAGGCGCGAAAGCGUGGGGAGCGAACAGG
rnacentral:rRNA from 1 species